ensembl:snRNA U6 U6 spliceosomal RNA
GUGCUUGCUUUGGCAGCACAUAUACUAAAAUUGGAAUGAUACAGAGAAGAUUAGCAUGGCUUCUGCACAAGGAUGACACACAAAUUCGUGAAGCAUUCCAUCUAAAA